rnacentral:rRNA from 1 species
UACGUAGGCAGCGAGCGUUGUUCGGAAUUACUGGGCGUAAAGGGUGUGUAGGCGGUUGUUUAAGUUUGGUGUGAAAUCUCCCGGCUCAACUGGGAGGGUGCGCCGAAUACUGAAUGACUUCGAGUGCGGGAGAGGAGAGUGGAAUUCCUGGUGUAGCGGUGAAAUGCGUAGAUAUCAAGAGGAACACCUGAGGUGAAGACGGGUUGCUGGGCUGACACUGACGCUGAGGCGCGAAAGCCAGGGGAGCAAACGGG